rnacentral:lncRNA from 1 species
CACAGUCAGGUAACUAAGAGAAAGGGCCAAGCUUCCUCUCAAAGCCAGAUCCCUCAAAGGGGAGGCAGAUAAAUGGAUAACAGAAAUGUCCGUGUGAUAACUGAAUUCAUCCUCCUGGGGCUGGCUGACAACCCUGAACUGAAUACUGUCGUCUUUGUGCUGGUUCUCUUGAUCCGUCUCAUCACUAUGGAAUUCUUCUCACUAUCCUGAAGAUGAAAUCUACCGGGAGCAGAUAAAAAGCCAUCUGCACAUGUAUCUCCCACCUAAUGGUAGUGACUCUUGUCUAUGGAACAGUGUGAUAUUUACUUACCUGGGAACUAGCUCCAGCUGUCCACAGGAUACAGCCAAAAUCCUGUCCGUGCUGUAUACCCUUUUGCUGCCAAUACUAAAUCUUCUGAUAAACAGUGUGAGAAACACAGAAGCCAAAAAAGCAAUUAAAAGAAUUAUUAAGAGAAAAAUAUUUCCUCAGUGACCAUGAAUUUUCAAGUAUAAAUA